rnacentral:tRNA from 1 species
UUCCUGGUGGUCGAGUGGCUAAGACUCUGUGCUCCCAAUGCAGGGGGCCUGGGUUUGAGUCCUGGUCAGGGAA